rnacentral:rRNA from 1 species
CUACGGGAGGCAGCAGUAAGGAAUAUUGGACAAUGGGCGGAAGCCUGAUCCAGCCAUGCCGCGUGAAGGAAGACUGCGCUCAGCGUUGUAAACUUCUUUUGGAUGGGAAUAAUACUGUCGACGUGUUCGGCACUUGAAGGUACCAUCAGAAUAAGCACCGGCUAACUCCGUGCCAGCAGCCGCGGUAAUACGGAGGGUGCAAGCGUUAUCCGGAAUCACUGGGUUUAAAGGGUGCGUAGGCUGUUCGGUAAGUCAGUUGUGAAAUUCCCCGGCUUAACCGGUGGGACUGCGAUUGAUACUGUCGGACUUGAAUCAGGUUGAGGUAGGCGGAAUGUGGCAUGUAGCGGUGAAAUGCAUAGAUAUGCCAUAGAACACCGAUUGCGAAGGCAGCUUGCUGGACCUAGAUUGACGCUGAGGCACGAAAGCGUAGGGAGCAAACAGGAUUAAAUACCCCGGUAGUCC